CUUAUUCCCAUUUUGUAUGCAUUUCCAUUUAUUUUACAAGGCAUUGUUCACACAAUGAUAACAAGGUACCAAUCCAAACAAUUCUGUAACAAUUAAAAAAGUAAACAUUUGUUGUGACCAUGUACAUUGAAUUGCACUUUUAAUACCAAGCAUUACACUUAUAUUUCCAUAUUAUACUUUAUAUAAUACGUGGAUUUGUUGCACAAGUACUGGUAGUAUGGAGUUGUUCUCAGUUAAAAGUCUGAUGUCGCUGUCAUGCUCUUCUUUCCUAACUCUUUAGGAUUUGCAAACUGGGACACACACAGAUGACAAAUGCAGCUCCAGAUCUAGAAAACUUCAUUGUAAUGGAGCCAGAGCUUUGAAGCUGCUCUCUGGUUUCAAUGUGCUAAAGUGAAUUCAUCUUGAAUGGCAGGCACUGAGGGAUUUGGACCAUGCCUGAUUAGACUCUUUUCUGCAUUCACAUGUCAGCUUUUCCCAGUUCAGAGAAGCCAGAAAAUCUUCCAUGGGAAAGCAGUAGUUCCCAAAGCUCAAGAGAGCUCCUGGCACAGGUAAAAAUAGCAUGAAAUACAUUCAGUAGCAAAGCAGUUGGAAUCCAGAAGUGGAGAACCCUGUAUUCCUGGAGGAUUAACCUUUACGUGUUAAGACAUGAUACUGAAAUAAAUUAUGUAAACUUCUGA